UACGGAGGAUGCGAGCGUUAUCCGGAUUUAUUGGGUUUAAAGGGUGCGUAGGCGGCUUUUUAAGUCAGCGGUGAAAUUUUGCAGCUUAACUGUAACAGUGCCGUUGAUACUGGGGAGCUAGGAUUUGGUUGCUGUGGGUGGAAUGUGUGGUGUAGCGGUGAAAUGCUUAGAGAUCACACAGAAUAUCGAUUGCGCAGGCAGCUUACUAAACUACUACUGACGCUCAGGCACGAAGGCGUGGGGAUCAAACAGGAUUAGAUA
rnacentral:rRNA from 1 species